AGCGAACGCUGGCGGCAGGCCUAACACAUGCAAGUCGAACGAAGUCUUCGGACUUAGUGGCGGACGGGUGAGUAACACGUGGGAACGUGCCUUUAGGUUCGGAAUAACUCAGGGAAACUUGUGCUAAUACCGAAUGUGCCCUUCGGGGGAAAGAUUUAUCGCCUUUAGAGCGGCCCGCGUCUGAUUAGCUAGUUGGUGAGGUAAAGGCGCACCAAGGCUACGAUCAGUAGCUGGUUUGAGAGGAUGACCAGCCACAUUGGGACUGAGACACGGCCCAAACUCCUACGGGAGGCAGCAGUGGGGAAUCUUGCGCAAUGGGCGAAAGCCUGACGCAGCCAUGCCGCGUGGAUGAUGAAGGUCUUAGGAUUGUAAAAUCCUUUCACCGGUGAAGAUAAUGACUGUAGCCGGAGAAGAAGCCCCGGCUAACUUCGUGCCAGCAGCCGCAGUAAUAC
rnacentral:rRNA from 1 species